GACAAAACCUCCAUCGUCAGUCACUCAUUCAAAACUCAUUUCAGUGCUCGAUACAUGCAUGCGUGUGUGGCCUCAAUCCUGGCAAGGUUACCCUGCAUUGAGAGUCGAGUAUUAUGGUUGUCGUCAGUAGAGCAAUAACAUCAUCCUAAUCGUGUAAUGGCUGUUUCCCAUAUUUAGCCUACUAUACUGGAUCUUUAGAUUUUGUAAUGUGUAUACUAUAAUGGAAAUAAAUAUUUUAGUUUGAUCAAUGUUAUAUUUGUAUAUGUAUAUAUAAAUAUAAAUUUAUAUAUACAUGUGAUUUGAGUGAAUAUAAAAUUUAUUGACCCAAAUCACAAGCCUAAGCUGAAAC
rnacentral:lncRNA from 1 species